rnacentral:rRNA from 1 species
UGGGGAAUCUUAGACAAUGGGCGCAAGCCUGAUCUAGCCAUGCCGCGUGAGUGAUGAAGGCCUUAGGGUCGUAAAGCUCUUUCGCUGGGGAAGAUAAUGACGGUACCCAGUAAAGAAACCCCGGCUAACUCCGUGCCAGCAGCCGCGGUAAUACGGAGGGGGUUAGCGUUGUUCGGAAUUACUGGGCGUAAAGCGCGCGUAGGCGGAUUGGAAAGUUGGGGGUGAAAUCCCGGGGCUCAACCCCGGAACUGCCUCCAAAACUAUCAGUCUAGAGGUCGAGAGAGGUGAGUGGAAUUCCGAGUGUAGAGGUGAAAUUCGUAGAUAUUCGGAGGAACACCAGUGGCGAAGGC